rnacentral:lncRNA from 1 species
UCUCUCUCCCUCUCCCUCUCCCUCCCUAUCUCUUUCUGUUUUCUAUGAGAAAGAAGAAGACAAGCAUUUAAUCCACUUCACCUCAAAGAUUGUAGCUAUAAAUAUUGAAUUGAAUUUUUUUUUACUUCAUAUUCAUAAUUUAUUACAAAAGAUCAUCAAUACAAUCCACAAAUGGAAGACUUAAUCCCAUUUCUCCUUCACGCCAUCAAGAAACAGAGUUUGCAACCCUCAUACCGCUGCCUCUCCAACAAAUCCACACACAGCUACCACCUCCUGCAGUCAAUUGAGGGCAGCUCUUCCCACCGCAGAACACGAUCUGAAUUUCAGAAGUCGUCGGAGGCAGUGGCCAUUAUUAGUAGGUCCCAUACAAAAGAGUCGCACUAGAGCUUGCGCGGUAUCUUGUUUAGAAGCUAAUAACAACUUUACACUAAGGGGUUUUGCUUCAACCACUAGUUUAAUUACAGACUAAGUUGACAAAAAAAAGGGUAUUGUUAGAGUGACACACAGACAACGGGAAGAGAUAGGAAAGAGGGGAGAGAGAGUGAGAGAGAGGGAGGGAGGAGAGAGAGAGGGA